UACGUAGGGUGCAAGCGUUAAUCGGAAUUACUGGGCGUAAAGCGUGCGCAGGCGGUUGUGUAAGUCAGAGGUGAAAUCCCCGGGCUCAACCUGGGAGCUGCCUUUGAGACUGUGCAACUAGAGGAUGGCAGAGGGGGGUAGAAUUCCACGUGUAGCAGUGAAAUGCGUAGAGAUGUGGAGGAAUACCGAUGGCGAAGGCAGCCCCCUGGGCUAUAACUGACGCUCAUGCACGAAAGCGUGGGGAGCAAACAGG
rnacentral:rRNA from 1 species